rfam:Candidatus Parvarchaeum acidophilus ARMAN-5 ARM5contig_1683, whole genome shotgun sequence.
GCCCGAGUAGCUCAACGGCAGAGCACUUGGCUGUUAACCAAGGCGUUGCAGGUUCGAAUCCUGCCCCGGGCG